rnacentral:rRNA from 1 species
AGAACGAACGCUGGCGGCAUGCCUAAUACAUGCAAGUCGAACGAACACUUUGGUGUUAGUGGCGCACGGGUGCGUAACGCGUGGGAAUCUGCCCUUGGGUUCGGAAUAACAGCUGGAAACGACUGCUAAUACCGGAUGAUAUCGAAAGAUCAAAGAUUUAUCGCCCAGGGAUGAGCCCGCGUAGGAUUAGCUAGUUGGUGAGGUAAAGGCUCACCAAGGCGACGAUCCUUAGCUGGUCUGAGAGGAUGAUCAGCCACACUGGGACUGAGACACGGCCAGACUCUACGGGAGGCAGCAGGUAGGGAAUA